AACGAACGCUGGCGGCAUGCCUAACACAUGCAAGUCGAACGGGAUCCUAGCUUGCUAGGUGAGAGUGGCGGACGGGUGAGUAACACGUGGGAAUCUGCCUUUUGGUUCGGGAUAACCGCGGGAAACUGCGGCUAAUACCGAAUGCCCUCGAGAGAGGAAAGAUUUAUCGCCAGAAGAGGAGCCCGCGUCCGAUUAGGUAGUUGGUGGGGUAAAGGCCUACCAAGCCGACGAUCGGUAGCUGGUCUCGAGAGGAUGAUCAGCCACACUGGGACUGAGAUACGGCCCAGACUCCUACGGGAGGCAGCAGUGGGGAAUAUUGGACAAUGGGGGCAACCCUGAUCCAGCAAUGCCGCGUGAGUGAUGAAGGCCUUAGGGUUGUAAAGCUCUUUUGCCAGGGAAGAUGAUGACUGUACCUGGAGAAUAAGCCCCGGCUAACUUCGUGCCAGCAGCCGCGGUAAU
rnacentral:rRNA from 1 species